rnacentral:snRNA from 1 species
GUGACCCAGAAAACCCAUCUCUCU